UAAGGAAUAUUGGUCAAUGGACGCAAGUCUGAACCAGCCAUGCCGCGUGAAGGAUGAAGGCCCUCUGGGUUGUAAACUUCUUUUAUCUGGGAAGAAAUGCCCGUUUUUUAAUGGGUUUGACGGUACCAGAGGAAUAAGCACCGGCUAACUCCGUGCCAGCAGCCGCGGUAAUACGGAGGGUGCAAGCGUUAUCCGGAUUCACUGGGUUUAAAGGGUGCGUAGGUGGGUUGGUAAGUCAGUGGUGAAAUCUCCGUGCUUAACAUGGAAACUGCCAUUGAUACUACUGGUCUUGAAUUUUCCGGAGGUAAGCGGAAUAUGUCAUGUAGCGGUGAAAUGCUUAGAUAUGACAUAGAACACCAAUUGCGAAGGCAGCUUACUACAGGGACAUUGACACUGAGGCACGAAAGCGUGGGGAUCAAACA
rnacentral:rRNA from 1 species